AUGAACGCUAGCUACAGGCUUAACACAUGCAAGUCGAGGGGCAGCAUGACGAUAGCUUGCUAUUGUUGAUGGCGACCGGCGCACGGGUGAGUAACGCGUAUCCAACCUGCCCUUGUCCAUCGGAUAACCCGUCGAAAGGCGGACUAACACGAUAUGCAGUUCUCCGCAGGCAUCUAACGAGAACGAAAUGUGAAGGAGAAGGAUGGGGAUGCGUCUGAUUAGCUUGUUGGCGGGGUAACGGCCCACCAAGGCGACGAUCAGUAGGGGUUCUGAGAGGAAGGUCCCCCACAUUGGAACUGAGACACGGUCCAAACUCCUACGGGAGGCAGCAGUGAGGAAUAUUGGUCAAUGGGCGAGAGCCUGAACCAGCCAAGUAGCGUGCAGGAUGACGGCCCUAUGGGUUGUAAACUGCUUUUAUACGGGGAUAAAGUGAGCCACGUGUGGCUUAUUGCAGGUACCGUAUGAAUAAGGACCGGCUAAUUCCGUGCCAGCAGCCGCGGUAAUACGGAAGGUCCGGGCGUUAUCCGGAUUUAUUGGGUUUAAAGGGAGCGUAGGCCGUCUGUUAAGCGUGUUGUGAAAUGUCGGGGCUCAACCUGGGCAUUGCAGCGCGAACUGGCAGACUUGAGUGCACGGGAAGUAGGCGGAAUUCGUCGUGUAGCGGUGAAAUGCUUAGAUAUGACGAAGAACUCCGAUUGCGAAGGCAGCCUGCUGUAGUGCAACUGACGCUGAAGCUCGAAAGCGUGGGUAUCGAACAGGAUUAGAUACCCUGGUAGUCCACGCGGUAAACGAUGGAUGCUCGCUGUUUGCGUCUGACGUAAGCGGCCAAGCGAAAGCGUUAAGCAUCCCACCUGGGGAGUACGCCGGCAACGGUGAAACUCAAAGGAAUUGACGGGGGCCCGCACAAGCGGUGGAGUAUGUGGUUUAAUUCGACGCAACGCGAAGAACCUUACCAGGCCUUGACAUCCCUUGCGAAAUCCUAGAGAUAGGACAGAGGUUAUCAGGGUGACAGGUGGUGCAUGGUUGUCGUCAGCUCGUGCCGUGAGGUGUCGGCUUAAGUGCCAUAACGAGCGCAACCCCUGUUCUCAGUUGCCAUCGGGUGAUGCUGGGCACUCUGUGAAGACUGCCUCCGCAAGGAGUGAGGAAGGUGGGGAUGACGUCAAAUCAGCACGGCCCUUACGUCCGGGGCUACACACGUGUUACAAUGGCAUGUACAGAAAGCAGGCCGUAUGCAAAUACGGUCGAAUCCCUAAAACAUGUCUCAGUUCGGACUGGGGUCUGCAACCCGACCCCACGAAGCUGGAUUCGCUAGUAAUCGCGCAUCAGCCAUGGCGCGGUGAAUACGUUCCCGGGCCUUGUACACACCGCCCGUCAAGCCAUGAAAGCCGGGGGCGCCUGAAGUCCGUAACCGCAAGGAUCGGCCUAGGGUGAAACCGGUGAUUGGGGCU
rnacentral:rRNA from 1 species